GAUGAACGCUGGCGGCGUGCCUAAUACAUGCAAGUCGAGCGAACGGACGAGAAGCUUGCUUUUCUGAUGUUAGCGGCGGACGGGUGAGUAACACGUGGAUAACCUACCUAUAAGACUGGGAUAACUUCGGGAAACCGGAGCUAAUACCGGAUAAUAUUUUGAACCGCAUGGUUCAAAAGUGAAAGACGGUCUUGCUGUCACUUAUAGAUGGAUCCGCGCUGCAUUAGCUAGUUGGUAAGGUAACGGCUUACCAAGGUAACGAUGCAUAGCCGACCUGAGAGGGUGAUCGGCCACACUGGAACUGAGACACGGUCCAGACUCCUACGGGAGGCAGCAGUAGGGAAUCUUCCGCAAUGGGCGAAAGCCUGACGGAGCAACGCCGCGUGAGUGAUGAAGGUCUUCGGAUCGUAAAACUCUGUUAUUAGGGAAGAACAUAUGUGUAAGUAACUGUGCACAUCUUGACGGUACCUAAUCAGAAAGCCACGGCUAACUACGUG
rnacentral:rRNA from 1 species